GCGGGUGUAGUUCAAUGGUAGAACUUCAGCCUUCCAAGCUGAUCACGUGGGUUCGAUUCCCAUCGCCCGCUCCA
rnacentral:tRNA from 1 species